rnacentral:rRNA from 1 species
GACGGAGGGGGCUAGCGUUGUUCGGAAUCACUGGGCGUAAAGGGCGCGUAGGCGGCCUUGCAAGUCAGGCGUGAAAUCCCUCGGCUCAACCAAGGAAGUGCAUCCGAAACUGCUGAGCUUGAGUACUUAAGAGGAUCGCGGAAUUCCCGGUGUAGAGGUGAAAUUCGUAGAUAUCGGGAGGAACACCAGUGGCGAAGGCGGCGAUCUGGGAAGAUACUGACGCUGAGGUGCGAAAGCGUGGGGAGCAAACAGG